AAUUUUUUAUUGGGGCUUUUCUAUCCUUGUUGGAGGCUUAGUUGGAUAGAUAGAUGAGAUAGGUAACAUGAGAUCGUGGCAACACUAAAUGAUCCGUGCUUAUCAAACUCCACCAUCAGCAAGGAAACCUACACCAACUAUAGGGAUUCUUCCGAGGCAAGGCUUGAAGUAGGACCAAGUGUGGAUGCAUGGUGAGAAGGUGAGAAUAAGUUUCUGUAGGUAGAAAGGAAAGGCAUCAGGAUUUGCAAAGAAUGGAUACACACAAACUUAAUUCAGUUACUACUACAGCUACAUCUUGUCUACAGAUCUGUUCAUUUCAGAGAAUUGUUUCCAGAUUUUCUGACUUAUCUAGAAUCAGGACUCAGGGUAUGAAUUUUAAGAAUAUUGCCGGAGAAGAAGUCAUAUGUUCCCACGAGCUUUUCAACCACUCCAAGGAAGACUCCAAUCCAGCUAACUUCUUCUUACUGGACUCGAGGUUCAAUCAUGGAAAUAUCCUGUUCUGCCUCAAUUGUCAGUUUCUAAGUUCUGACGGAUGCUUCAGUAGUUUCUGUUGAGCUGCUUGAAUCUCUGCAUCCUUUCCAGCUGCAUCUGCAUGCUCGGUAACCAUUGCAGACUUUCUACACUCCACCGGACUUCAUUUUUCCAACUCGUCCUUACUGGCAGCGAGUCUGACGGUUAACUUCAUCAUGUUCUGCUCCUAUCUCAGCAGAAGAGUGCAUCAUUUUCUGUACUAACUCUUGAAUAUCAGAACAUUUGGCAGCAGCAGGAGAUUCGAUAUAUUCCAGUAAGAAAAGCCGUAAAUCAAAAACUCGUUCGGCUCGUUGGCCAGGACCACCAGCUAAUAUUGAACGUAUCUUUUCAACAACCUCGGAAAUAACUUUUGAUAUGAUAUUUGGAAUAAAAAUAUAAUUUUUUAAUUUAUUAAAUGAAAUAUAAGAUAUUUUGUUUUCCAAUAAAUUCAUCUAUUCAGGUAAUUUAUGGUUGCAAUAUCGUUGAGGUUGCAUGAAAGCAAUCGCUCGACGAUUGUAUAAUCCAUAACCCAUUAUUUUAUUUAUGCUCCAGAAUUAUUUUGUCUGUGUCUUUUAGUUUAAACAGAUAACCAAUGCUCUGCGAUGAAGAGCUCUGAUCUUUCAUAAUAUAUUCAACUUGAUCUUUUUAACCUGUUUAUGUAUUUGUAUAUAUAGAGUGUUUAUCAUCAUCUUCAACUUCUCGGUUAUUUAUGUUCUGCUACUCGUGCUGAUUGCUGAUCCCUGCCAAGGAACAACGAUGGUCCUGCUUGUCGCACGCACUGUGCCAGCUACCGUUCUCUAAAAGAUGAUCCAAAUUUUGAUGCACUGACUGCUGUUUUAUAUCCAGACAUUGAUAAAUACGACGAAGAGGCAACAAUUUCCAAUCAAUAGACAUAACGAAUGCCUCCUUGGAUGUUUCUUUUUCGCUUCAUAAUCAUCAUCAUCAUUGAUGUAUAUUGUCAUUGUAGGAACUAGCUUUCGACGAAGAGGAGGAGGAUCUCAACACUCAGGUCAAUGAUCUUUAUGUUAAAGAGGAAUGGACGAUGAUCAUAAACAGAUUUAUGUUUUACAUUAAAUGAUCAAUAAUUUAUGUUUCAGGGCAGAUCCAAGCUUCUAUUUGUUUGAUAACAAGAAUCUAUUGUGGAAUUGGGUGUUAAAUUGUGUGGUUAAUGGGUAUUAAAAUACAUAUAAUGCAUGGAAGUUUUACUAGAAUAGUGGGCGUUAAAAGGAUAUAUAUUACACUAGAAUAAUACAAUUUUUGCUAGGAUUAAUUGUGUUUUUAAUUUGUGAAGUAUCCUAUGUAUUUUUGUGCUUUAAAAUGAUGAUUGUCCGUUGGUGUAUUUGAGAGAGGAGUAAAAAAGUGAGAAUUAUUAUAACCAAACAAUUAUUUUGUCUUCAUGCCUUAGUGUUUUUACUUUGUCUUUGUGUGUUUUACUUCCAUAGUCUUGUGUUUGCAUUUGUGUGUUUGUGUCUCCACAUUUGAUAUUAUACAAAUUGCUAUCAGAGCCGAUGGCAAAUGUGAUGGGUCAAAUGUCGUCACCAUGUUUGACGAAGGCAAAUUACGAGAAUUGGAGUAUUCAAAUGCAAGCACUUCUUGGAUCUCAAGAUGCAUGGGAGAUAGUUCAUAAAGGUUUCGAAGAACCCGCGAGUACGGCGGAUAUACGGCGGCUCAAUAGAAGGCGUUGAAAGAGACAUGGUCAAAGGAUAAGGCUGCAUUGUACUUGUUGUUCCAAGUUGUUGAUGAGUCAAGCUUUGAGAAGAUUUUCGGUACAACAAUUUCAAAAGAAGCUUCAGACAUUUUAGAAAGAACAUUCAAAGGAGCCGAUAGUGUCAAGCAAGUGCGCCUUCAAACACUUCGUGGCGAGUUGGAAAGGAUGAAGAUGAAGGAGUCUGAAAGUGUAUCUGACUAUAUUACUCUCGUGACCUGAAGGCUUUGUGGUUCAAGGCAAAGAACACAAAGUUUUUAAAUUAAAAAAAAAAGGCAUUAUAAGGGCUUAAACAAGCACCACGGGCCCGGAUAAGAGAAUUGACUCAUGCCUUCUAAAGAAUGGAUUUAUGAGGAGUGAAAGUGAGCCAACAUUGUAUGCAAAGAAAAAUGACAAAUGUGAGUUAAUACUUGUUUGCAUUUAUAUGGAUGACAUCAUAUAUUUUGGAUCAAGUGAAAUCUUAGUUGUUGAUUUCAAGAUGUGUAUGAUGAAGGAGUUCGAAAUAUCGGACUUGGGGAUACUUAGUU